rnacentral:rRNA from 1 species
AGUGAAGAGGGAAGAGCCCAAGAUUGAAAGCUGGCGUCUUCGGCGUCCGCAUUGUAAUCUCAAGAAGUGUUUUCCGCUUCGGACCAUGCCUAAGUCCCUUGGAAAAGGGCAUCAUAGAGGGUGAUAAUCCCGUACAUGGCAUGGAGCGCCCGAAGCUUUGUGAUACGCUUUCUAAGAGUCGAGUUGUUUGGGAAUGCAGCUCAAAAUGGGUGGUAAAUGCCAUCUAAGGCUAAAUAUUGGGGAGAGACCGAUAGCGAACAAGUACAGUGAUGGAAAGAUGAAAAGAACUUUGAAAAGAGAGUUAAACAGUACGUGAAAUUGCCAAAAGGGAAGGGUAGGAGGUCAGAGAUGCGGCCUGGGAUUCAGCCUUGCUUUUGCUUGGUGUUUUUCCCAGAUUGCAGGCCAACGUCGGUUUUGGGCACUGGAGAAGGGUAGGAGGAACGUGGCACCUCUCGGGGUGUGUUAUAGCCUCCUACUGGAUACAGCGACCGAGACCGAGGACAGCAGCGUACUCGCAAGAGCGGGCCUUCGGGCACCUUUACGCUUAGGGCGUUGGCAUAAUGGCCCUCUACCACCCGUCUUGAACCACGGGAC